AUGACAUAUUUCUCCUCCAAACGCCUUGAGGUUGAAGAAUAUGAGAUCACCUUUACCACUAAGGAAAAUAUGGAUUUCUUCUGUAAAGGCUAUAACAUGUCAAGAACGGGCGAUGGGGCAGAUGUAAUUUUGGAGCCUUGUUCUGAAGAUGAACGGGAUAACAUGGACGCCCCUCCUGGCACCUCAGACGAAUUCUUCUACCCGUAUAUUCCCAUCAUUCAUGAAUUAGGGUGUUAG